GAUGAAGAACGCAGCGAAAUGCGAUAAGUAAUGUGAAUUGCAGAAUUCAGUGAAUCAUCGAAUCUUUGAACGCACAUUGCGCCCGCUGGUAUUCCGGCGGGCAUGCCUGUUCGAGCGUCAUUUCAACCCUCAAGCUCUCCGGAGUUUGGUGUUGGGGCGCCUGGGGCUUUUCGACCUCAGGGCCCUCAAGUCCAUCGGCGGGACCGCCAGGACACUGAGCGCAGUAGUAUUAUUUCGCUCGGGAGGAUCUUCCACGGCGGGUCGAUCUGGCCGCUAAACCCCCCAAUUCACACCAAAGGUUGACCUCGGAUCAGGUAGGAAUACCCGCUGAACUUAAGCAUAUCAAUAAGCGGAGGA
rnacentral:misc_RNA from 1 species